rnacentral:tRNA from 1 species
UAGCUCAGUUGGUUAGAGCGUUGCAUUCACAUUGCAAAGGUCAGAGGUUCGACUCCUCU